rnacentral:rRNA from 1 species
GACGAACGCUGGCGGCGUGCUUAACACAUGCAAGUCGAACGGUAAGGCCCUUCGGGGUACACGAGUGGCGAACGGGUGAGUAACACGUGGGUGAUCUGCCCUGCACUUCGGGAUAAGCCUGGGAAACUGGGUCUAAUACCGGAUAGGACCACUGCCUGCAUGGGUGGUGGUGGAAAGCUUUUGCGGUGUGGGAUGGGCCCGCGGCCUAUCAGCUUGUUGGUGGGGUGAUGGCCUACCAAGGCGACGACGGGUAGCCGGCCUGAGAGGGUGACCGGCCACACUGGGGCUGAGAUACGGCCCAGACUCCUACGGGAGGCAGCAGUGGGGAAUGUUGCACAAUGGGCGCAAGCCUGAUGCAGCGACGCCGCGUGAGGGAUGACGGCCUUCGGGUUGUAAACCUCUUUCAGCACCGACGAAGCGCAAGUGACGGUAGGUGCAGAAGAAGGACCGGCCAACUACGUGCCAGCCGCCGCUGUAAAAC